rnacentral:rRNA from 1 species
GGGGAAACCGUAUCUCUACGGCGAUCGAGAACAUGUCAAGCCUUGGUAAGGUUCUUCGCGUUGCAUCGAAUUAAUCCGCAUGCUCCGCCGCUUGUGCGGGCCCCCGUCAAUUCCUUUGAGUUUUAGCCUUGCGGCCGUACUCCCCAGGCGGGGCACUUAAUGCGUUAGCUGCGGCGCGGAAACCGUGGAAUGGUCCCCACACCUAGUGCCCAACGUUUACGGCAUGGACUACCAGGGUAUCUAAUCCUGUUCGCUCCCCAUGCUUUCGCUCCUCAGCGUCAGUUACAGCCCAGAGACCUGCCUUCGCCAUCGGUGUUCCUCCUGAUAUCUGCGCAUUCCACCGCUACACCAGGAAUUCCAGUCUCCCCUACUGCACUCUAGUCUGCCCGUACCCACCGCAGAUCCGGGGUUAAGCCCCGGACUUUCACGACAGACGCGACAAACCGCCUACGAGCUCUUUACGCCCAAUAAUUCCGGAUAACGCUCGCACCCUACGUAUUACCGCGGCUGCU